rnacentral:lncRNA from 1 species
ACAAGAGGGGUUGCUCUGAUGGUAAGCAACCCCCACUUCCAACCGAGAGGUUGUGAGUUCGAAUCUCCCCAAGAGCAAGGUGGGAAGUUCUUCGAGGAAAGGAUGCCGGGGGUCUAGAAUGCCAUGCACUUUUGACAGAGAAAAGACCAUCUUCUGAAACUUCAAUUUCCAUACGGGAAAAUCAUCAAAUUUUGGCCUCCGAUGUCCAUGCAAGUGAUCUUACCAGUAAUAUAAUCAGGAACGACCAUGGAUAGCUUAUUGAUGUCUUGCUCUCCAUUAGUAAUGAAUUCCUUUACCGAUAAUUUCUCUGGCUUACUAAGGCCUUGAAUGAUUCUAGCUAAAGCGCCUUCACCGGUCCAGUUGUCCCACCAGAAACUAGAGGUACCAGAUUGUAUUUUCCAGAUGAUAUUAGAUUCCGCCUUACUCCUGCUCUUCAUCAAGGUCUUCCAACUAUGAGAAUAUGAGGAGUUAAAAAUUUUGGACACUCGAUGAGACCUUUUCCAAUAUUCGGCUUUAAGGAAUGUUGCCUAGAGAGAGGAGUUGGUCCUAAACAUCCACCAUUUUUUUAUUUGAGGGAUUCACUUAUGUCGUGCGUACUUCAGAUGCCUUUACCACCUUCCUCCUUAGGAUACAAAGAUCUUUCCAAGAACUCCAAUAAUAAUUCUUGUUAGCCUCGGAAGAGCCCCAAAAGAAAUUAGAGAAAUGCAUUUUAAUGAGAUUGAUAGCGCCUUUUGGAAGACAAGAGGGGUUGCUCUGAUGGUAAGCAACCCCCACUUCCGACCGAAAGGUUGUGAGUUCGAGUCUCCCCAAGAGCAAGGUGGGAAGUUCUUGGAGGGAAGGAUGCCGGGGGUCUAUUUGGAAACAGCCUCUCUACCCCAGGGUAGAGGUAAGGUCUGCGUACAUACUACCCUUCCCAGACCCUACUAUGUGGGAUUAUACUGGGUUGUUGUUGUUGAUAGCUCCUUUUGGAGGGUUAAGAGACUACAGAGUGUAAAUUGGAAGGGAUUGGAGGACAUAUUUGAUUAUAAUCAUUUUGCCCUGUAAGAAAAUACUUUACCUUGCCAACCACUAAGCCUUUAGAUAAUUCUUGAUAACAGGAUGUCAAAUAAGCUGAUUCUUUUUCUUCCUUGAAAUAUAG